UCUCCCAUUAGAUCUUUGAUAGGGUGUUGAUAGCUAUAGACAGUAGGGUGGUGACCAUAGAAGUCAGAAUCCAGUUGGGAAUGUAUAACAACUUAUCUGCUGAAUCUACCAGCCCCUAAAAUAGAUUGCACUGGAGAGAG
rnacentral:ncRNA from 1 species